rnacentral:rRNA from 1 species
CCUACGGGCGGCAGCAGUGAGGAAUAUUGGUCAAUGGGCGCGAGCCUGAACCAGCCAAGUAGCGUGAAGGAUGACUGCCCUACGGGUUGUAAACUUCUUUUAUCAAGGAAUAAAGUGCGGCACGUGUGCCUUUUUGUAUGUACUUUAUGAAUAAGGAUCGGCUAACUCCGUGCCAGCAGCCGCGGUAAUACGGAGGAUCCGAGCGUUAUCCGGAUUUAUUGGGUUUAAAGGGAGCGUAGAUGGGUUGUUAAGUCAGUUGUGAAAGUUUGCGGCUCAACCGUAAAAUUGCAAUUGAUACUGGCAGGCUUGAGUACAGUUGAGGUAGGCGGAAAUGGGGGUGUAGCGGUGAAAUGCUUAGAUAUCACGAAGAACUCCGAUUGCGAAGGCAGCUUAAUAAAGUGCCACUGACAUUGAUGCUCGAAAGUGUGGGUAUCAAACAGGAUUAGCCUUGUAGUC